rnacentral:rRNA from 1 species
GAUGAACGCUGGCGGCGUGCUUAACACAUGCAAGUCGAACGGGAAACCUUUUAUUGAAGCUUCGGCAGAUUUAGCUGGUUUCUAGUGGCGGACGGGUGAGUAACGCGUGGGUAACCUGCCUUAUUCAGGGGGAUAACAGUCAGAAAUGGCUGCUAAUACCGCAUAAGCGCACAGAGCUGCAUGGCUCAGUGUGAAAAACUCCGGUGGUAUAAGAUGGACCCGCGUUGGAUUAGCUGGUUGGUGGGGUAACGGCCCACCAAGGCGACGAUCCAUAGCCGGCCCGAGAGGGUGAACGGCCACAUUGGGACUGAGACACGGCCCAGACUCCUACGGGAGGCAGCAGUGGGGAAUAUUGCACAAUGGGGGAAACCCUGAUGCAGCGACGCCGCGUGAAGGAAGAAGUAUCUCGGUAUGUAAACUUCUAUCAGCAGGGAAGAUAAUGACGGUACCUGACUAAGAAGCCCCGGCUAACUACGUG